AACACAUGCAAGUCGAGGGGUAACGAUGGCUUCGGCCAGGCGACGACCGGCGCACGGGUGAGUAUCGCGUUUGUAACCUACCUCUGACUGGAGGAUAGCCCGAAGAAAUUCGGAUUAAUACUCCAUAAUACUAUGGACAGGCAUCUGUUCAUGGUUAAAGCCCCGGCGGUCAGAGAUGGGCAUGCGUGACAUUAGCUUGUUGGUGAGGUAACAGCUCACCAAGGCUACGAUGUCUAGGGGGUCUGAGAGGAUGGUCCCCCACACUGGUACUGAGACACGGACCAGACUCCUACGGGAGGCAGCAGUGAGGAAUAUUGGUCAAUGGGCGAAAGCCUGAACCAGCCAUGCCGCGUGAAGGAUGACAGCCCUAUGGGUUGUAAACUUCUUUUGUACGGGAAGAAACGCUUCUACGUGUAGAGGUUUGACGGUACCGUACGAAUAAGCAUCGGCUAACUCCGUGCCAGCAGCCGCGGUAAUACGGAGGAUGCAAGCGUUAUCCGGAUUUAUUGGGUUUAAAGGGUACGUAGGCGGGAGCUUAAGUCAGUGGUGAAAUCCUGCAGCUUAACUGUAGAACUGUCAUUGAUACUGGGCUUCUUGAAUGUAGUUGAGGUAGGCGGAAUGUGUAAUGUAGCGGUGAAAUGCUUAGAUAUUACACAGAACACCGAUUGCGAAGGCAGCUUACUAAACUACGAUUGACGCUGAGGUACGAAAGCGUGGGGAGCGAACAGGAUUAGAUACCCUGGUAGUCCACGCUGUAAACGAUGAUCACUCGUUGUUGGCAAUACACCGUCAGCGACUGAGCGAAAGCAUUAAGUGAUCCACCUGGGGAGUACGACCGCAAGGUUGAAACUCAAAGGAAUUGACGGGGGCCCGCACAAGCGGAGGAACAUGUGGUUUAAUUCGAUGAUACGCGAGGAACCUUACCUGGGCUUAAAUGUAGAACGACGGACCGGGAAACUGGUCUUUCU
rnacentral:rRNA from 1 species